rnacentral:lncRNA from 12 species
UGGAAAGCCCUGGGGUGCCCAGCCCUAGGAGAGCAGCUCUUUCCCGAGGCAGCAGCUCUCCAGGGUGAAUGUGACAGGUGUGUAGCAGAAGACACCACAGGUCAGCAUGGAGGAAGAGUGGCCAGCAGCAGAGCUGGCCCAGGCCCCGUAUCUGUAUCAGCUUCCCCAAGCAGGCGUGCAGACGUAGGGAAAAGGAGUGGCCAGCAGCAGAGCCAGCCUAGGCAGGCCCCAUGUCUGUAUCAGCUUCCCCAAGCAGGGAUGCAGAUGUAGGGACAGGCCACCAGCAGGAACAAGUGUCACAGCAGGAGCAAGCAGGGCUGUCAGUGCACAUUGAGUGCCACCAAAGCCCUUUGUGGCACGGGCCUGUUUUGAAGGAGGUUAUGAUGUCCUUCAAGAGGAGGCCUUCAGAGGAGCCGGACAGGAGCUUCUGGGCCCACGGCUCGCGACAGCAGCAGGAUGGCCUGGAGAACAGAGAGCCACGGAGCCGAGGACAGGGUUCCUCGCUGAGGCGCUCUAGGGCUCUCAGUGACACACCUGGGCAGCCUCACUCUGGGAUGGCACAUCUUUGAUGUCAGAACCGGGAGAGGACCAAGACAGCCAGCCAAAGAGGAGAGGGAGCAUAAAAGAAAAUUAAAUCCCCCUAACAAGAACAACAAAAACAAAAAGUUCCAGCCUGUAUGAUGAGUGUUAUUCACUGCUAAUAUGUAUGGUGAUUAUCAAAUCAAGAGGAAAGGCAGGGUUAAGUCCUCCAUUGGAUCCUUAAGUAUUUUCCCAAAUAUUUUUC